CAAGACGUAGCUUAUCUCCUUAAAGCACCCAACUUACAAUUGAACGAUGUCUAUAAAGACCCUCUUGA